GGGGAUGUCUAGGUUUCGACAAGAUACGAAGCUUAUUACUUGCAAGUAGACGGAAGUCUUUAAAAUUCAAACUUAAUUUAAUCGGAAACGAUAAUUACGCACUAGCUGCCUAAGGGCGGCUCACCCUCAUAAGGAAUCGCCAUUUUUCUUUUGAACGGUGUCAUUAUAAUGGCUUACUAUUAUGUAUGACUAUAGCGUAAUAGGAAAUUUAAUAGUCUCGCUAUAAGACUUUUGUUUGUUUAACAUCUUAUAGUUAAAAUGAUAAAUGAACUAAACUUGUAGACGGUAGUAAGGACUUUUUGUUUUGGACGCGGGUUCGAUUCCCGCCAUCUCCACCA
rnacentral:tmRNA from 1 species